rnacentral:rRNA from 1 species
GAUGAACGCUGGCGGCGUGCCUAAUACAUGCAAGUCGAGCGAACAGACGAGGAGCUUGCUCCUCUGACGUUAGCGGCGGACGGGUGAGUAACACGUGGAUAACCUACCUAUAAGACUUGGAUAACUUCGGGAAACCGGAGCUAAUACCGGAUAAUAUAUUGGACCGCAUGGUUCAAUAGUGAAAGACGGUUUGGCUGUCACUUAUAGAUGGAUCCGCGCCGCAUUAGCUAGUUGGUAAGGUAACGGCUUACCAAGGCAACGAUGCGUAGCCGACCUGAGAGGGUGAUCGGCCACCCUGGAACUGAGACACGGUCCAGACUCCUACGGGAGGCAGCAGUAGGGAAUCUUACGCAAUGGGAGAAAGCUUGACGGAGCAAAGCCGCGUGAGUGAUGAAGGUCUUCGGAUCGUAAAACUCUGUUAUUAGGGAAGAACAAAUGUGUAAGUAACUAUGCACGUCUUGACGGUACCUAAUCAGAAAGCCACGGCUAACUACGUG